rnacentral:rRNA from 1 species
GGUUAAGCGACUAAGCGUACACGGUGGAUGCCCUGGCAGUCAGAGGCGAUGAAGGGCGUGCUAAUCUGCGAUAAGCGCCGGUAAGGUGAUAUGAACCGUUAUAACCGGCGAUACCCGAAUGGGGAAACCCAGUGUGACUCGUCACACUAUCAUUAACUGAAUCCAUAGGUUAAUGAGGCGAACCGGGGGAACUGAAACAUCUAAGUACCCCGAGGAAAAGAAAUCAACCGAGAUUCCCCCAGUAGCGGCGAGCGAACGGGGAGGAGCCCAGAGCCUGAAUCAGCAUGUGUGUUAGUGGAAGCGUCUGGAAAGGCGCGCGAUACAGGGUGACAGCCCCGUACACAAAAGCGCAUGUGCUGUGAGCUCGAUGAGUAGGGCGGGACACGUGGUAUCCUGUCUGAAUAUGGGGGGACCAUCCUCCAAGGCUAAAUACUCCUGACUGACCGAUAGUGAACCAGUACCGUGAGGGAAAGGCGAAAAGAACCCCGGCGAGGGGAGUGAAAAAGAACCUGAAACCGUGUACGUACAAGCAGUGGGAGCACAGGUUUACCUGUGUGACUGCGUACCUUUUGUAUAAUGGGUCAGCGACUUAUAUUCUGUAGCAAGGUUAACCGAAUAGGGGAGCCGGAGGGAAACCGAGUCUUAACCGGGCGUUAAGUUGCAGGGUAUAGACCCGAAACCCGGUGAUCUAGCCAUGGGCAGGUUGAAGGUUGGGUAACACUAACUGGAGGACCGAACCGACUAAUGUUGAAAAAUUAGCGGAUGACCUGUGGCUGGGGGUGAAAGGCCAAUCAAACCGGGAGAUAGCUGGUUCUCCCCGAAAGCUAUUUAGGUAGCGCCUCGUGAAUUCAUCUCCGGGGGUAGAGCACUGUUUCGGCUAGGGGGCCAUCCCGGCUUACCAACCCGAUGCAAACUGCGAAUACCGGAGAAUGUUAUCACGGGAGACACACGGCGGGUGCUAACGUCCGUCGUGAAGAGGGAAACAACCCAGACCGCCAGCUAAGGUCCCAAAGUCAUGGUUAAGUGGGAAACGAUGUGGGAAGGCCCAGACAGCCAGGAUGUUGGCUUAGAAGCAGCCAUCAUUUAAAGAAAGCGUAAUAGCUCACUGGUCGAGUCGGCCUGCGCGGAAGAUGUAACGGGGCUAAACCAUGCACCGAAGCUGCGGCAGCGACGCUUAUGCGUUGUUGGGUAGGGGAGCGUUCUGUAAGCCUGUGAAGGUGGCCUGUGAGGGUUGCUGGAGGUAUCAGAAGUGCGAAUGCUGACAUAAGUAACGAUAAAGCGGGUGAAAAGCCCGCUCGCCGGAAGACCAAGGGUUCCUGUCCAACGUUAAUCGGGGCAGGGUGAGUCGACCCCUAAGGCGAGGCCGAAAGGCGUAGUCGAUGGGAAACGGGUUAAUAUUCCCGUACUUGGUGUUACUGCGAAGGGGGGACGGAGAAGGCUAUGUUGGCCGGGCGACGGUUGUCCCGGUUUAAGCGUGUAGGUGUGUGUUCCAGGUAAAUCCGGUUCACUUUAACACUGAGGCGUGACGACGAGGCACUACGGUGCUGAAGCAACAAAUGCCCUGCUUCCAGGAAAAGCCUCUAAGCAUCAGGUAACAUCAAAUCGUACCCCAAACCGACACAGGUGGUCAGGUAGAGAAUACCAAGGCGCUUGAGAGAACUCGGGUGAAGGAACUAGGCAAAAUGGUGCCGUAACUUCGGGAGAAGGCACGCUGACACGUAGGUGAAGUGAUUUACUCAUGGAGCUGAAGUCAGUCGAAGAUACCAGCUGGCUGCAACUGUUUAUUAAAAACACAGCACUGUGCAAACACGAAAGUGGACGUAUACGGUGUGACGCCUGCCCGGUGCCGGAAGGUUAAUUGAUGGGGUCAGCGCAAGCGAAGCUCCUGAUCGAAGCCCCGGUAAACGGCGGCCGUAACUAUAACGGUCCUAAGGUAGCGAAAUUCCUUGUCGGGUAAGUUCCGACCUGCACGAAUGGCGUAAUGAUGGCCAGGCUGUCUCCACCCGAGACUCAGUGAAAUUGAACUCGCUGUGAAGAUGCAGUGUACCCGCGGCAAGACGGAAAGACCCCGUGAACCUUUACUAUAGCUUGACACUGAACAUUGAGCCUUGAUGUGUAGGAUAGGUGGGAGGCUUUGAAGCGUGGACGCCAGUCUGCGUGGAGCCGACCUUGAAAUACCACCCUUUAAUGUUUGAUGUUCUAACGUGGACCCGUAAUCCGGGUUGCGGACAGUGUCUGGUGGGUAGUUUGACUGGGGCGGUCUCCUCCUAAAGAGUAACGGAGGAGCACGAAGGUUGGCUAAUCCUGGUCGGACAUCAGGAGGUUAGUGCAAUGGCAUAAGCCAGCUUGACUGCGAGCGUGACGGCGCGAGCAGGUGCGAAAGCAGGUCAUAGUGAUCCGGUGGUUCUGAAUGGAAGGGCCAUCGCUCAACGGAUAAAAGGUACUCCGGGGAUAACAGGCUGAUACCGCCCAAGAGUUCAUAUCGACGGCGGUGUUUGGCACCUCGAUGUCGGCUCAUCACAUCCUGGGGCUGAAGUAGGUCCCAAGGGUAUGGCUGUUCGCCAUUUAAAGUGGUACGCGAGCUGGGUUUAGAACGUCGUGAGACAGUUCGGUCCCUAUCUGCCGUGGGCGCUGGAGAACUGAGGGGGGCUGCUCCUAGUACGAGAGGACCGGAGUGGACGCAUCACUGGUGUUCGGGUUGUCAUGCCAAUGGCACUGCCCGGUAGCUAAAUGCGGAAGAGAUAAGUGCUGAAAGCAUCUAAGCACGAAACUUGCCCCGAGAUGAGUUCUCCCUGAGACUUAGAGUCUCCUGAAGGAACGUUGAAGACGACGACGUUGAUAGGCCGGGUGUGUAAGCGCAGCGAUGCGUUGAGCUAACCGGUACUAAUGAACCGUGAGGCUUAACCUU